UCUUUUAUCUCUUUCUCUCACAGAGUAGGACUAUUAAUAGGGUGGGCCGGACUUGAGAUUGGCGGGCCACCCAAUGGGAUGAUGGGUUUGAGGCUGGACCUUGAAUAUUAGGUCCUCGUUACUUCUGGGCCUUAAAUGGGUUGGCCCAAGCUUAGACCACCAUAGCAAUUUGAAGCUUCCCCUCUCCAUUUUAUCCCCACGAGUAGGGUUGAAAUCAGAUCGGAUAC
rnacentral:lncRNA from 1 species